UACAACCUUCUUCUUUUACGUGUCUUGUGAGGUGAUCUUUUGGAGAGAAAAGGGGAAGGAACAUUGGAGCACUAGGCAAAGGAGCAUGGACAGUCGGAUCCGAGCAUCAGUCGCCCCCAUUCAGUCUGGUGGGGGCGUGAUCGGCGGAACCACCGAGUCAUAGCCCCCGGUGCUGGGGAUUCCCUAUAUGAUGAUGAUCAAAAGGUUCAGAGUUCAAAAUGCGAAGCACUCAUUUGGAUUCCAAGUUUUAUGAACAUAUUGAUCCUUCAUCUGACAAGUCAAAAAAACUUCAACUUCAUACAUUAAUCAUUUGUUCCAUAGUUUUUUGAAGUGAAUCCUCCCCAAACCCAGGAAGAAAUUAAAAAAUUUGAACUCCAAGAUUUCUAGCUUGAUACAUUUUAGUUGCCAAGUUUUUUUUAGCUAUAAAUGUAAACUUUUUUUGUAUAUAUAGGCUAUUUUUUGUAAACAUUCGUUGUAUAGAAAGGUCAAUAAAUAUUAUAAGGAUAAUGACAUAAGUACACUAAUUAUACUUUUUACU